GGGGGGCUAUCUGCAGUCGAGCGAACUGAUUAGAAGCUUGCUUCUAUGACGUUAGCGGCGGACGGGUGAGUAACACGUGGGCAACCUGCCUGUAAGACUGGGAUAACUUCGGGAAACCGAAGCUAAUACCGGAUAGGAUCUUCUCCUUCAUGGGAGAUGAUUGAAAGAUGGUUUCGGCUAUCACUUACAGAUGGGCCCGCGGUGCAUUAGCUAGUUGGUGAGGUAACGGCUCACCAAGGCAACGAUGCAUAGCCGACCUGAGAGGGUGAUCGGCCACACUGGGACUGAGACACGGCCCAGACUCCUACGGGAGGCAGCAGUAGGGAAUCUUCCGCAAUGGACGAAAGUCUGACGGAGCAACGCCGCGUGAGUGAUGAAGGCUUUCGGGUCGUAAAACUCUGUUGUUAGGGAAGAACAAGUACGAGAGUAACUGCUCGUACCUUGACGGUACCUAACCAGAAAGCCACGGCUAACUACGUGCCAGCAGCCGCGGUAAUACGUAGGUGGCAAGCGUUAUCCGGAAUUAUUGGGCGUAAAGCGCGCGCAGGCGGUUUCUUAAGUCUGAUGUGAAAGCCCACGGCUCAACCGUGGAGGGUCAUUGGAAACUGGGGAACUUGAGUGCAGAAGAGAAAAGCGGAAUUCCACGUGUAGCGGUGAAAUGCGUAGAGAUGUGGAGGAACACCAGUGGCGAAGGCGGCUUUUUGGUCUGUAACUGACGCUGAGGCGCGAAAGCGUGGGGAGCAAACAGGAUUAGAUACCCUGGUAGUCCACGCCGUAAACGAUGAGUGCUAAGUGUUAGAGGGUUUCCGCCCUUUAGUGCUGCAGCUAACGCAUUAAGCACUCCGCCUGGGGAGUACGGUCGCAAGACUGAAACUCAAAGGAAUUGACGGGGGCCCGCACAAGCGGUGGAGCAUGUGGUUUAUUUCGAAGCACGCGAGACCUUACCAGGUCUUGACAUCCUCUGACACUCUAGAGAUAGAGCGUUCCCCUUCGGGGGACAGAGUGACAGGUGGUGCAUG
rnacentral:rRNA from 2 species